rnacentral:rRNA from 1 species
GACGAACGCUGGCGGCGUGCCUAAUGCAUGCAAGUCGCACGCGGCACCUUCGGGUGCUGUGUGGCGAACGGCUGAGGAACCCGGUGGGACCCGUCCGGGAGUGGGGGACAACACCGCGAAAGCGGUUCUAAUCCCGCAUACGCUCUGCGGAGGAAAGCCGAAAGGCGCUCCCGGGUGGCCCUGCGGCCCAUCAGGUUGUUGGUGGGGUAACGGCCGACCAAGCCAAUGACGGGUCGCUGGUCAGUGAGGACGACCAGCCAGACGGGGACUGGGACACGGCCCGGGCUCCUUCGGGAGGGGGCGGAAGGGUGUUUUCGGCACUGGGCGCGAGUCUGACCGAGCAGCGCCGCGUGAAGGAAGGCGGCCUUCGAGUUGUAAACUGCUUUUGCGAGGGAUGCUGACAGACGGUACCUGGCGAAUCAGCCCCGGCUAACUCUGUG